GGGUGUUUCCAGUUCGGCUUAUAAUGGACGCCUCGGGUUCCCAGGGUUGUGUUCUUUGGUCUGCCUCUGGUUUCAGCCAUAGCUGCAAUGAACAUGGUCAUGAGAGCUCAGACUCACAUGGAAAAGCUAGCAAAGGGGCUUUUCCGAUGCUAAAGAGCCUUGAGGCAAAGGAGAGUCUUUCUCCUUGCUCCUAGACAACCUUAAACCAGUGGGGACGGACUGGUGAAUAAAUGCUUCAGGAGACCUUAUACAGUGAACCCACAUGUUGAAGCUUUCUAGUAUAAUAAAAAUUUCAACUGUUCUGUUGAAUCAUCUGCCUGAUUGGAGGCUACAGAAAAGAUGUCAUCUUAGGAGUGCUUGCUCUGAGUGAGGCUCAUCUUCAAAUCUGAAUGACCACAAGGAGAUUUGAUUAUACAUGUGAACACCUCAGAAGGCACAGCCCACCCAGAAGGCAGACAGGUCAGGCUGCUUUUUCUUCAUUGCUUGGAUUCAAUCCUCCGGGCGGCUCAGGCUCAAACAUAACUUAAGCAUGAUUAAACUUUAGAAGAAGCUGCCAGGAAGACUGUGAAAUCUUCAUGCCCAAGGAUCCCUAAAAUUAGGAGCAACAACCACUUGGCUCAGACGGUUUAUGGAGGCAAAGGUUUGGAUGGGAUUAGAGAUUUCUAAAUGUGAGUUCGUGUCCUCUGCCAGACCACCUUACUUCCACCAUUCCUCAGCAAAUCAAGAAAAACAGGAGAAAAGACAUGCCUUUCCAUAAGUUAAAUCUAUUCUGUUUUAAUUCUAUAUUAUAUCUGCUGUACAACUUCUUUUGUUUGUAACACCAUAUUGUUGCUAGUAACUGGAAAUUAAUUUUCACAUGCCUCAGCUUAGAAAAAUAAAAAGCAGCCCUGCAUCAAUCCCA
rnacentral:lncRNA from 1 species